rnacentral:miRNA from 12 species
CACUUUCCAUCCCUGGGUACUGA